rnacentral:ncRNA from 1 species
AGAAAAUCGAUGAAUAAGAAGAGUACGCUUGGCGCAUUCGAAUCAGAGAGCUGGUGAUGGUGGGAAACCGGCACGAAUCGCCUUGUGGAAUGGCCUUAUGAGAGGCUUUCUGAAGUCAGAGUAGGAAAGCACGGUUUCCUCCGUUAACGGGAUAGGGUAUCGAAUGGUUGAAGACGAUUCUGUACCCGAAAGAGAAGGAAAUUUUUUAUUUCCAAAAUGAGGUGGCACCGCGAUACAUUCGCCCUCUAU